UCCGNGGGGGGUGCUAUACAUGCAAGUCGAGCGGACAGAUGGGAGCUUGCUCCCUGAUGUUAGCGGCGGACGGGUGAGUAACACGUGGGUAACCUGCCUGUAAGACUGGGAUAACUCCGGGAAACCGGGGCUAAUACCGGAUGGUUGUUUGAACCGCAUGGUUCAGACAUAAAAGGUGGCUUCGGCUACCACUUACAGAUGGACCCGCGGCGCAUUAGCUAGUUGGUGAGGUAACGGCUCACCAAGGCGACGAUGCGUAGCCGACCUGAGAGGGUGAUCGGCCACACUGGGACUGAGACACGGCCCAGACUCCUACGGGAGGCAGCAGUAGGGAAUCUUCCGCAAUGGACGAAAGUCUGACGGAGCAACGCCGCGUGAGUGAUGAAGGUUUUCGGAUCGUAAAGCUCUGUUGUUAGGGAAGAACAAGUGCCGUUCAAAUAGGGCGGCACCUUGACGGUACCUAACCAGAAAGCCACGGCUAACUACGUGCCAGCAGCCGCGGUAAUACGUAGGUGGCAAGCGUUGUCCGGAAUUAUUGGGCGUAAAGGGCUCGCAGGCGGUUUCUUAAGUCUGAUGUGAAAGCCCCCGGCUCAACCGGGGAGGGUCAUUGGAAACUGGGGAACUUGAGUGCAGAAGAGGAGAGUGGAAUUCCACGUGUAGCGGUGAAAUGCGUAGAGAUGUGGAGGAACACCAGUGGCGAAGGCGACUCUCUGGUCUGUAACUGACGCUGAGGAGCGAAAGCGUGGGGAGCGAACAGGAUUAGAUACCCUGGUAGUCCACGCCGUAAACGAUGAGUGCUAAGUGUUAGGGGGUUUCCGCCCCUUAGUGCUGCAGCUAACGCAUUAAGCACUCCGCCUGGGGAGUACGGUCGCAAGACUGAAACUCAAAGGAAUUGACGGGGGCCCGCACAAGCGGUGGAGCAUGUGGUUUAAUUCGAAGCAACGCGAAGAACCUUACCAGGUCUUGGACAUCCUCUGACAAUCCUAGAGAUAGGACGUCCCCUUCGGGGGCGGAGUGACAGGUGGUUGCAUGGUUGUCGUCAGCUCGUGUCGUGAGAUGUUGGGUUAAGUCCCGCCACGAGCGCCAACCCUUGGAUCUUUAUUUGCCAGCAUUCAGUUGGGCACUCUAAAGGUGACUGCCGGGUGACCAACCCGGGAGAAAGGUGGGGGGAUGACGUCAAAAUCAUCUUGGCC
rnacentral:rRNA from 1 species